UACGUAGGGUGCGAGCGUUGAUCGGAAUUACUGGGCGUAAAGCGUGCGCAGGCGGUUUUUUAAGUCAGAUGUGAAAUCCCCGGGCUUAACCUGGGAAUGGCAUUUGGGACUGCAAGGCUGGAGUUUGGCAGAGGAGACUGGAAUUCCCGGUGUAGCAGUGAAAUGCGUAGAUAUCGGGAGGAAUACCGAUGGCGAAGGCAGGUCUCUGGGCUAUAACUGACGCUCAUGCACGAAAGCGUGGGGAGCAAACAGG
rnacentral:rRNA from 1 species